CUAAGGAUAAGCAAAUCGAGGUAAACUAUAUUUAAAAAGUAAUAGUCUACCAAAGAACAGAAUGUGAAACCAAAAUGUAACGAUGAUCAAUAAGGCAAAUAAUAGAUGGGGUGGCGAUUCCUCCACAUCAGCACAUACUUUUAAUUCAGUUUUAAGCAAAAUCUCAUUAACUCUUUUUAACUAGACAAAACGUGUCUACCAGUUGUAUGGAAAAGUGAAGGAGUGAGGUCUGACAAGGUACUUGUGAUAAUGAAAAUUAGUGACCAGGACUCUGUGUACGUAUUCUUAGAACUUCCUGUGAAGCUACAGUGUAGAAUGACCAUAAGAUGGACAAACGCAUUAAUUCGAUUAUAUACAAGUUAACAAGCUUCAUCUUUGAAGGGAAAAAAACCCGAACAAAAUUAAAAAAUAAUAUUAAUUAUAUUGUUGUUUAGUCACUAGGUCAUGUCUUACUCUCUGUGACCCCUCGGACUGUAGCCCGUGAGGCUCCUCUGUCCGUGAGAUUUCCCAGCAAGAACACUGGAGUGGGUAGCCGUUUCCUUCUCCAAGGGAUCUUCCUGACCCAGGGACCAAACCCCUUUCUCCUGCACCGCAGGCGGAUUCUUUACCACUGAGCCAUCUGGGGAGCCCGGUAUUAAUUUUAAUAAGUGUCUGGAGCUGAGAUCUUCCACGUUGCCAAGGUCCUCGUGCAUUCGGGGAGAAGCCUGCGGCUCCCGGGGGGGCAGGAUGGCCUGCUGCCUUAGCAUCACUCCCUGGCCCAGAGCCUCCGGGUCAGCCAGAGGUGAGACUCUCUGGGUCAGCCAGGGAGGGGCACUCUGAGGUCUUCCCCGGGACGUGACAGCCUUGCACACCCGUGCAGCCUCCUGGAGCCCUGCAGACACGUCAGAGCUCCUCAGCGCCCUCUGUGGACAUCUCUUCGCUCAGCCCUGGCUUUGCUCCACUUUCACCACGGUCUCAGUCAAUCGUGACUUUGCACAACGGCCACUGAUCCGUUUUCACAAGCGUCCUGGGGGAAAGGUUGUUCUCCUUUCAUGUGAGUUGGGUCAGAUACAGUGGGAUCUCUCAUAGAACCAUCUAGAAGCCACUGGAAUGCUCUGGGGAGGUUCCAGUCUGCUCUCUGCUUCUGAGGCCCCCAGGCUCCUGGUUUUCAAGGUUCCGAGCAGAAAGGGCAGAGCAGAGGGGACGCAGGCGUCAAGGCUCUAGCUGAAAGGAGGCCGUGUUUCCCGAAGGCAGGCUCGCAGGUUACCGCGGCCUUGGUGAACUGCCAGCUGUCAAGGAGCGUUGAUGGCGACCGUUCCUGCCAGUGCGGACGCUGCUUUUAUGGAGGAGAGGAUUUCUGGAGGUCUGUCCUUGCCAUCACAGUGACGCCUACGCUGUUUCCACAACAAACCCCCGAAACCAGCCUGCCAGCUCAUCAGCCGGAGUUCUCUGUGCCGUGGAAUGGCUGUGUCAUGUGCUGUUGUGAAACCACUCGGGAGGAUGAACCGUGUCUCCUGAGGUGGAGGGGCCUCAUCAUGCGUGAAAUUGGAAACGUUGGGGGGGAAUGCGUUCACUUUUCUGAAAGCACGACCACCCAAGUCCCCGUGUGUGUGUCUGUGUCUUCCUUUGUGCGGGGGACAGGUGUGUCAGGAUGACACGGGGGUCAGCACUGGCUGCAGUGAGCCUGG
ensembl:lncRNA